GAUGAAGAACGCAGCGAAAUGCGAUAAGUAAUGUGAAUUGCAGAAUUCAGUGAAUCAUCGAAUCUUUGAACGCACAUUGCGCCCAUUAGUAUUCUAGUGGGCGUGCCUGUUCGAGCGUCAUUAAUUCCACUUAAGCCCUGCUUAGUGUUGGGAAUCUACUCUAGUGGUGCUACCCUGGAGCUACCCCUGAAAGGGGGCUGGCCCGGUAGCUACCCUGUAGUUCCUCAAAGAUAGUGCGCGGAGUUGCGUGGUCCUCUGAGCUUAGUAACUAUACACCUAGCUUUUGAGUGUCCCGCGGCGCCUGCCGUUUAAACCCCAUCUUUUAAUGGUUGACCUCGGAUCAGGUAGGAAUACCCGCUGAACUUAAGCAUAUCAAUAAGCGGAGGA
rnacentral:misc_RNA from 1 species